UACAGAGGUGGCAAGCGUUGUUCGGAAUUACUGGGCGUAAAGGGCGCGUAGGCGGCCUUCUAAGUCAGACGUGAAAUCCCCCGGCUUAACCUGGGAACUGCGUUUGAUACUGGAAGGCUUGAGUGCGGGAGAGGGAAGUGGAAUUCCAGGUGUAGCGGUGAAAUGCGUAGAUAUCUGGAGGAACACCGGUGGCGAAGGCGGCAUCCUGGACCGACACUGACGCUGAGGCGCGAAAGCUAGGGUAGCAAACAGG
rnacentral:rRNA from 1 species